UCAAGUGGAAAAGAAUCGGUUUUUUGAGAUGAAAAAAACUAUCAGCAGAUUUAGAGCUCCAGAAAAAUCUGCUGUAAGGUCUGUGCAAAAGUCCAUGAAGACCUUGAAUCUGCUGUACACAUACCCCAAAUGUCCAACUGAACCAAAAUCCAUCAAAGAUAUGGAUCCCGGACAAAACACAAUUGAAGAUCUAAUGUUGCGGAUUUGUCACCUCGAAAGUGUUGAUCCCUCCAGAGGUGUCUGUCUCUACACAGUGGAUGGAAUGCCUUUGACAGAUGAUCCUUUCUUUAACACAUGGUCUUUGCAAGACAGACACAUUAAAAGUGGAGAUGUAAUCUGUGCUAUUUUUACACCAAAUGAGAAUUUGGAAACGUCUAAAAAUUUCAAGCAAAGGGUCAUUGAAACCCAGGGAACCGAUACUGUUCGAUGUCAUAUC